AAAACAUCACCUCUAGCAUUACUAGUAUUAGAGGCAAUGCCUGCCCAGUGACACCAGUUUAACGGCCGCGGUAUUCUGACCGUGCAAAGGUAGCAUAAUCACUUGUUCUCCAAAUAAGGACUUGUAUGAAUGGCCACACGAGGGUUUUACUGUCUCUUACUUCCAAUCAGUGAAAUUGACCUUCCCGUGAAGAGGCGGGAAUAAAAAAAUAAGACGAGAAGACCCUAUGGAGCUUUAAUUAACUAUUCCAAAAGUUAAACAAUUCAACCACAAAGGGAUAAAACAUAACUUAACAUGGACUAGCAAUUUCGGUUGGGGUGACCUCGGAGUACAAAAAACCCUCCGAGUGAUUUUAAUCUAGACAAACCAGUCAAAAUAACCAUAACAUCACUUAUUGAUCCAAAAUUUUGAUCAACGGAACAAGUUACCCUAGGGAUAACAGCGCAAUCCUAUUCUAGAGUUCCUAUCGACAAUAGGGUUUACGACCUCGAUGUUGGAUCAGGACACCCAAAUGGUGCAACCGCUAUUAAAGGUUCGUUUGUUCAACGAUUAAAGUCCU
rnacentral:rRNA from 1 species